GAUGAACGCUGGCGGCGUGCCUAACACAUGCAAGUCGAACGGUGAAGCGCCAGCUUGCUGGCGUGGAUCAGUGGCGAACGGGUGAGUAACACGUGAGCAACCUGCCCCUGACUCUGGGAUAACAGCCGGAAACGGCUGCUAUAACCGGAUAUGCACCAUGAACGCAUGUUCUGUGGUGGGAAAGAUGUGUCGGUUGGAGAUGGGCUCGCGGCUUAUCAGCUUGUUGGUGAGGUAUUGGCCCACCACGGCGUCGACGGGUAGGCGGCCGUGGAGGGUGAACAGGGACAAUAGGCCUGAGACAGGGAGCAGACGCCAACGGGAGGCAGCAGUCGAGAGUAUUGCACAAUGGGCGCGAGCGUGAUGCAGCGGCGCCGCGUGAGGGAUGACGGCCUUCGGGUUGUGAACCUCUUUUAGCAGGGAAGAAGCGGGAGUGACGGUACCUGCAGAAAAAGCGCCGGCUAACUACGUG
rnacentral:rRNA from 1 species